AGAGUUGAUCCUGGCUCAGGAUGAACGCUAGCUACAGGCCUAACACAUGCAAGUCGAGGGGCAGCAGAUCGAAAGCUUGCUUUGAUGCUGGCGACCGGCGAAUGGGUGAGUCACGCGUGUCCAACCUGCCCUGUGCCCGGGGAUAGCCCUUGGAAAUGAGGAUUAACACCCGAUAGGUGGCGCUUCCGCAUGGCGGCGCCAUGAAACCGACACAGGAUGGGGACGCGUCGGAUUAGCUUGACGGCGGGGCGACGGCCCACCGUGGCGACGAUCCGCAGGGGUUCUGAGAGGAAGGUCCCCCACACUGGCACUGAGACACGGGCCAGACUCCUACGGGAGGCAGCAGUGAGGAAUAUUGGUCAAUGGCCGAGAGGCUGAACCAGCCAAAGUAGCGUGCAGGACGACGGCCCUACGGGUUGUAAACUGCUUUUGCGGGAGGAUAAAGGACGCCACGUGUGGCGUUUUGCAGGUAUCCCGUGAAUAAGGACCGGCUAAUUCCGUGCCAGCCGCGGC
rnacentral:rRNA from 1 species